rnacentral:rRNA from 1 species
GGGGAUUGCCUUAAUACGGCGAGUGAAGCGGCAAAAGCUCAAAUUUGAAAUCUGGCACCUUCGGUGUCCGAGUUGUAAUUUGAAGAAGCUACUUUGGGGCUAGUCCUUGUCUAUGUUCCUUGGAACAGGACGUCAUGGAGGGUGAGAAUCCCGUAUGGCGAGGAGUCUAGUCCUAUGUAAAGUGCUUUCGACGAGUCGAGUUGUUUGGGAAUGCAGCUCUAAGUGGGUGGUAAAUUCCAUCUAAAGCUAAAUAUUGGCGAGAGACCGAUAGCGAACAAGUACAGUGAUGGAAAGAUGAAAAGAACUUUGAAAAGAGAGUGAAAAAGUACGUGAAAUUGUUGAAAGGGAAGGGCAUUUGAUCAGACAUGGUGUUUUGCGACCCUCGCUCCUUGUGGGUGGGGAUCUCGCAGCUCACUGGGCCAACAUCAGUUUUGGCGGUAGGAUAAAUCUUUGGGAACGUGGCUUGUCUUCGGAGAAGCGUUAUAGCCCAGGGGAAUACUGCCAGCCGGGACUGAGGACUGCGACUUUUGUCAAGGAUGUUGGCAUAAUGGUUAAAUGCCGCCCGUCUUGAAACACGGACCAAAA